GAGAACGCGGGCCCGGCUGCGGCAGAGAAAGAGGAAACUGAGGCUUCUUGAGGAAAUGACAUAUGCAAGACUUCAGGCAGCCGUGCCUCUACCACCAACCCCAGAUCCUCACCCUCAGACUCACAUUGGAGAUGUAUUCUUUGUAAGCAGCACGGUCCUGUGGGGACAGACUCUGGAGGACAAGAAGGCAGAGAGAAGUAUGAGAUGCAGCAGCAAAGGUGGGAAAAAUUUCUUUUCUACCUGUGGAAAUCCGGGUGAUCCCCCCAGUCUCUAUCCCACAACCCCUCCCCCCAAAAAAAUUCUGCAAAGGAUUUAGAGGAGAAGCGGGGCAAGGUUAGUUUUGGAAACACGGCUAUCUAUUCAUAUACACCUCCCUCCUUUUAUCUCUACCACAAGCUUCCAACAUGAGACUAUGAGCCCAUGAGCCCAUGGUGGCCUAACCCUGACACUUAAUUUUUAAGCUUUCAUUUUUUUAACCUACUUGGCUAGAACCUAUAGAAGUGACCUAGCAGAGCAGACUAACAGAGUGGAGGGGUCUAACCCCCUGUCCUCCACUUGCUACUAUGGUGUAACAAGCCCUGGUCCAGAGUUCCAUGUACACCUCACACCGUUUCUAAGGGAGUGCAGGCCUCUUUCUCUGGUUCUGUGGGAACCUUGGCUUCUCUUUGUGCACAUAUCUUUCCCCCUGCUCCCUCUCUCUCCUUCCUUGUUGGGAAGAGGCAGCAGUGACAGAGACAGGGUUAACAUGCUUGUUGGAUUUAGAGUCGGGAGGACUAAGUUAUCCUGCCUUGGACACUGACCAGCUGUGCUAUGGCCAUGGCCAAGUUUCCGCAAACCUCUCACGAGUCUCGCUUUCCUCAUCCGUAAAAUAAGCGUGUCAAUAGCUGUACUGUCUGCCCCACUGGAUUGUUGGGAGGGUGGCCCUUUGCAAAGCCUAAAGCUCUAUUCAACUAUUGGCUGUCAUUACUGAAUAAUUUGAAUCGAAGCUGAAUGUGAUUAACUGCACAGCUGAAUCUGAGCAACCCACACAAUACUUGUGGAUUUUCUGGAUACCGGAUGUCUUCAAACUCCACUAUUUACUAUGUUCUACCUCCCCCACUGGACUAUGACAUUAACAAUAAUGAUGAUAGCGGCUAGCAUUUAUAUGGUGCCUUUAAGAUCUGCAAAGUGCUUUGCAAAUACUUCAUU